CAGAGACAGCUACACCACUGCAAAAGCAUCUUAUGUCAAGCCCUUCCUAGGCAUGGGCAGGACCCCAGCAGCUUGCCAACAACGCACUUCAAAGCCACACACCAGCUCUGGAUGAAACACCACCACCGCAGCAUGCCGGGGACUUUCCUCUUCCAAGCCGGCUUGAUGGAUGGGCAGCAGUGGAGACAGAAAUCUUCCUGUUAUACUCACAGGGCAGGUACUGAAUCAGCAACCAUGGUGGCUACACAAGCUGCACCUCUCUGA